GACGAACGCUGGCGGCGUGCCUGACACAUGCAAGUCGGACGGUUCUUGCACCUUCAAGCUUGCUUGCUGGUGCAAGGAUAGUGGCGGACGGGUGAGUAACGCGUGAACAUCUACCCAUUGGAGGGGGACAACCCGUCGAAAGGCGGGCUAAUACCGCGUAAGCCGCGAGGUGAGAGGCUGCCUAUUGGUGGCCGCCGAUGGAUGGGUUCGCGUCCUAUCAGCUGGUUGGUGGGGUAACGGCCUACCAAGGCGAAGACGGGUAGCCGGUCUGAGAGGAUGGCCGGCCACACUGGAACUGAGACACGGUCCAGACUCCUACGGGAGGCAGCAGUGGGGAAUAUUGGGCAAUGGGGGAGACCCUGACCCAGCGACGCCGCGUGAGGGACGAAGGUUUUCGGAUCGUAAACCUCUGUUGUACGGGAAGAAGGAUGUGACGGUACCGUACGAGGAAGCCCCGGCAAACUACGUG
rnacentral:rRNA from 1 species